CAACAAGUCGGCGAAUCCAGUUUGAAUGCACUCAAGUUGCUGUCCGUUUGUCUAAUGUCCGUCUAAUUGUAGAUUUAAAGCCAAGGACAUUUUAAAUGCGACGAUGCCAUUUGAUUGAAGAAUUCCUGGGCUUGUAGCUCUCGUUUGAACAGACGUAUUCAUAACACGACCGAGCACUCGACGCCCUAUUUUCGUCGAAAUGAAGCAUACAGCGCGACAUCAAAGACUUUGCUUAUUAAUGUCUCAAGCGUGAUUUAACUCGCAUGCAAAGGCUAAAUAGUUUGUGGGUGAUCCUGUUAUUCCCAGGAACGCUUCAGUAGCAAAAGUAUGUUUGUUUUUUUGGUCUUUUUGGGGUUUUUUUUUAAAUAUUUUAAUAACCCGGUGUUUAAUUUGAACUUUCCUAGCAACUGUUCAAUCGUGGAUUCUACUUGCUUGAGUAUUACUGUGAUUAUUCAUUUUGAUCGUGGCCUAAUGGAGAACUUCUUUUCAAUGUUUUAGUAUUCCCCUCUCGAGUUCUCGGAUUCGUGUGAAAUGAAUGAUGGAGAUAAAACUUGGCUGUCGCACCUCACUUUGGCACGCAAAAGUGCCCCGUAUUGAUUUUUUUAUUCCUCCUUUAGAUUCACGAGGAAUGGUCUGGAAAAUCGCGAUUCCGCGAAAUCAAAUCAUUCUAGUUGCACAGAAGUCUGAAUUUUACAGCGUGUGCAUUUAUUUCCACUGUUUCGCCACUUUGCAGUCGUUGUAGCAAAACGAACGAAAGUUGUUUUGCGAAAUGUCAAGCUUUACAGUUUCUGUCGUUUGAAAACAAAAACAAGUCUUUUGUUGUUGUAAAUUUAGAAAGCAAUUCAGGCGCCAGAGACGCGGCGACCUUUUGUUUUUAGUGCAGCAGCAGCCCAUUAGUUAGUUGGGCAUCAUCACAUCGUGUAAUGGCUUUUUGUUUCUUUUCCAAGAAAUGCCAUCACGUCAUUGGCUGUCAAUUCUUGAAAAGACAUUAACGGUGCAUCGCUCUUUACGUUCAGUGUCUUGGAAGUUUCUUCUUUGUAAACGCUGCAGGUUUAACUGUCUAUGAAUGUCAGUUAUUCAUGGUGCUGUACACACGUGUAGAGAUGCAAGUCAUGCAUGUCUACAUGAAACGGUACGAUCAGCAUGCCUGUUACUACUAACAUGGAGAGUUCGUUUCUCAUUAGAGCCAUCAUCUGUACAGAAACAGACUCGCAAGAAGACGUCGAUAAGAAGAUUUGGACAUGCAUUUAGUGCAUUAUCAAUUAAUUGGGUAAAGCACCAUUUCUAAGCAUCUCAAACGUUCCCUUUUCUCCAGGAUUAUGAUUCAUUUGUCAGUUAUCGUUGAGUAGGAACAUUGUGGAAACGUGUGAUGGCGACAAGCUGUAGAAGAAAGAAAGUUAGAUACGCGUAUAUAAAAAAAGAAUUGAUCUUCCAAUUCGAACAGUUCUAAAAAAAACUACCAAGGAUCGCUGUUCAUGGCGGCUGGCAAUGUACAGGUAAGAAGGAAGCCCAACAACAUCUAUUUAUUUUUUGUUACGCAUAUUUUUUUUCCAGUUCUUUUGGCCAAGAAAUUCUAGGUUUUCGUUACUUAUUGUUACGAUUCGUAAAUUAUUUGACGCCUCUAGAGCUUUUGAAACUAAGGCUCCAUAUCAGAGAGAAUUACUUGUGACACGUGGCUUCUUCAUCCACAUCAAAGUUAUCUCUCCCAAGAGUACGGUCGCUUCUGGCGCCUAUGAAACGUACGCGAUAUAACCAUCCACGGAAAGCGGUCACGUCCAAGAAAAAGACGGUGAAGUGCAUGUCUGACUGAUGGGAGGCAGAAACUAUACACACAGUUUAUAGACGCAGCAAGUAAUGUUGAAGUCUUGAUUCCUACGUAUCCAGCCAUGGCCACGUUAUUUCUGUAACUUGGCGUUUUCAUUCUACGCCUAUAACUGGUAGUUGGAGUCCAGAUGAGCAUUUUCAUCCGGAAGUGCACAAGGUACGAAAUGUUUUCUGAUGGAUUGUAGUCAUCGUGACGAGUAUUGAUUUGAAAAGCAUACGAUUGCGAAUCUGUGCGAAUCGCAGACUGCAUCGAUGUGAAAAUCAUUGAAAUCGUCUUGCAACUGAUGUGCUACAUUUAUUCAAGCAGAAUUUUUCUUUUUAGUUUUUACACGACAUUAAAGGGGAAAUGCAGAUUGUCUGACGUUGCUGUGAAAAGUUGCCUAAACGUUUGAACUUGUACCUAUUUUUUGUUUUUAUGUCUUUGUCUCUGUUUGUUUUUUGUAUUUAUUUCAAAAACCAGCGGUCCCCCGUAAAAAUGAAGUAUGUUUUCGUGAUCCUCGUUACAUUACAAACCGAAAACAUGUAUUUUAAAUGAUAUCUAAAAUUUGUCAAAAAAUGAAAAGUGGGAAGGCUAUACCCUUCCCACUUUUGUCAAAAUCCGCAAAAAAUGACAUCUCUUGGAAUUCCAUGUAAAUCACGCAUUAUAAUAAUAAUUUAACGCUGAUUUAGAAAAAGUAAUUUCUUUUCUCCUCAAAUCAGCAGUUUUUUAACCAUCGAAAUUUAAUUGACUGUAGCGCAAUGUAUUUGUUCAUCCGUUUUUCAAUAAUCAUUUUUCAAUGUAAUCUCAAAUGUGAAAAUAAAUUUAGUUUUCGUGAUCA